GGAGGUGAGGGCAAUCUGGCUGCAACAUCUGUCCCCAUUGAUCGCCAGCGUUGAUUUGGUUGAUCUGGCUGGCUAGGCAGGUGUCCCCUUCCUCCCUCACCGCUCCACGUGCGUCCUUCCCGAAGUUGUGUGCUCAGUUGAAGAGGAUGACCAUCCCUGAUAGAGGAGGACCAGUCUUCGGUCAAGGGUAUACAAGUAGCUGCACUCCCCUGCUAGAACCUCCAAACAAGCUCUUAAGGUCCAUACAACACAGUGAAAUAAGUGAAUGAGGGCCGGGCGCGGUGGCUCAAGCCUGUAAUC
rnacentral:snRNA from 1 species